rnacentral:rRNA from 1 species
GCGAGCGGCGGAUGGGUGAGUAACACGUGGGGAACCUGCCCCUAAGUCUGGGAUACCAUUUGGAAACAGGUGCUAAUACCGGAUAAUAAAGCAGAUCGCAUGAUCAGCUUUUGAAAGGCGGCGUAAGCUGUCGCUAAGGGAUGGCCCCGCGGUGCAUUAGCUAGUUGGUAAGGUAACGGCUUACCAAGGCGACGAUGCAUAGCCGAGUUGAGAGACUGAUCGGCCACAUUGGGACUGAGACACGGCCCAAACUCCUACGGGAGGCAGCAGUAGGGAAUCUUCCACAAUGGACGCAAGUCUGAUGGAGCAACGCCGCGUGAGUGAAGAAGGUUUUCGGAUCGUAAAGCUCUGUUGUUGGUGAAGAAGGAUAGAGGUAGUAACUGGCCUUUAUUUGACGGUAAUCAACCAGAAAGUCACGGCUAACUACGUGCCAGCAGCCGCGGUAAUACGUAGGUGGCAAGCGUUGUCCGGAUUUAUUGGGCGUAAAGCGAGCGCAGGCGGAAAAAUAAGUCUAAUGUGAAAGCCCUCGGCUUAACCGAGGAACUGCAUCGGAAACUGUUUUUUCUUGAGUGCAGAAGAGGAGAGUGGAACUCCAUGUGUAGCGGUGGAAUGCGUAGAUAUAUGGAAGAACACCAGUGGCGAAGGCGGCUCUCUGGUCUGCAACUGACGCUGAGGCUCGAAAGCAUGGGUAGCGAACAGGAUUAGAUACCCUGGUAGUCCAUGCCGUAAACGAUGAGUGCUAAGUGUUGGGAGGUUUCCGCCUCUCAGUGCUGCAGCUAAACGCAUUAAGCACUCCGCCUGGGGGAGUACGACCGGCAAGGGUUGAAACUCAAAGGA